CGAAAGAAAAAGAGUGGCGAACGGGUGAGUAACACGUGGGUAACCUGCCCAUCAGAAGGGGAUAACACUUGGAAACAGGUGCUAAUACCGUAUAACACUAUUUUCCGCAUGGAAGAAAGUUGAAAGGCGCUUUUGCGUCACUGAUGGAUGGACCCGCGGUGCAUUAGCUAGUUGGUGAGGUAACGGCUCACCAAGGCAACGAUGCAUAGCCGACCUGAGAGGGUGAUCGGCCACACUGGGACUGAGACACGGCCCAGACUCCUACGGGAGGCAGCAGUAGGGAAUCUUCGGCAAUGGACGAAAGUCUGACCGAGCAACGCCGCGUGAGUGAAGAAGGUUUUCGGAUCGUAAAACUCUGUUGUUAGAGAAGAACAAGGAUGAGAGUAAAAUGUUCAUCCCUUGACGGUAUCUAACCAGAAAGCCACGGCUAACUACGUGCCAGCAGCCGCGGUAAUACGUAGGUGGCAAGCGUUGUCCGGAUUUAUUGGGCGUAAAGCGAGCGCAGGCGGUUUCUUAAGUCUGAUGUGAAAGCCCCCGGCUCAACCGGGGAGGGUCAUUGGAAACUGGGAGACUUGAGUGCAGAAGAGGAGAGUGGAAUUCCAUGUGUAGCGGUGAAAUGCGUAGAUAUAUGGAGGAACACCAGUGGCGAAGGCGGCUCUCUGGUCUGUAACUGACGCUGAGGCUCGAAAGCGUGGGGAGCGAACAGGAUUAGAUACCCUGGUAGUCCACGCCGUAAACGAUGAGUGCUAAGUGUUGGAGGGUUUCCGCCCUUCAGUGCUGCAGCAAACGCAUUAAGCACUCCGCCUGGGGAGUACGACCGCAAGGUUGAAACUCAAAGGAAUUGACGGGGGCCCGCACAAGCGGUGGAGCAUGUGGUUUAAUUCGAAGCAACGCGAAGAACCUUACCAGGUCUUGACAUCCUUUGACCACUCUAGAGAUAGAGCUUCCCCUUCGGGGGCAAGUGACAGGUGGUGCAUGGUUGUC
rnacentral:rRNA from 1 species